GGCCCUCCAGAAUAACAGGAGAGCAUGGCCAGCCUGGGGGCGCUGAAGGAGUGCAGCAGCUGAGGGAAGCUCUCAAGAUCCUGGCAGAGAGAGUUUUGAUUCUGGAACACAUGAUUGGCAUUCACGAGAGUCCAGUGGAGUUGGGCUCUGGACUGGAGAACCUACCAGACUCCUUCUCAUUUCCCGCCACCAGGACCAGGAAGGCCGAGUCCACCAUGAAGACAGGACGACUUCAGCCUCUCCAACUCUCCUCCAAUCCUCAGGGAAACAAUCUCCCUAUAGAAGUGGUCAGACAGAGACGAGGUCUUUUUUAAGACACCAAUGAAAGUUUUUUAUAUUUUUUAGAGGGUAAAUCAGCUUUAAUCUUGCAGAUAGAUUUCACCUUCCAUCAAAUGUAAUUGUCUGCAUCAUUUCCAAACCCCCAUAUAUUGUUUAAAAAUGUAAUAAGACAAAACGU